GCAAACCACUAUGUACAGCGCAUGUGCGGCGACGCAUACAUGUGCUGUACGUAAUGAUGUCGCACAUGCGCUGUACAUAGUGGUUUGCUGCU